UUUCGUUCUACUCGACAAUUCCAAAAAUCAGUGCCAUUGGCUUUAGCUUUGCCCUUGAACUUGAAAUCUCGUGCCUUAUUCUUUCCUGGGGACUGGUGUUGGAUAUUGAACGGGCGGAGUUACCGCCGGGAUGAUGGAUGAAGGAGAUGAUGGCCUAAACUUGGCUGCGCGCAUUCUCAUUUUCGCGCGGCCUGCCACUAGUGUUUCGCAGAUUCACAAAGGGUGUCACAGGCAUAGCUGGAGGAAGAAAGGUACUACACGAAUGCGAAACGCGACAAACCCUACGUCAUUAGCCUGGAGUUCACCAAGACUAAGUUGGAGCCUCAAGUGGAGUCACCCAGUCUGAUACGGACGCAGCGAAGCUCUCUCCGGCGCCCACAUGCGCCGAGAUCCCACAGCUGUCAACGGAUGACACUGCAGCCCAGUCGCCAGCGACAGCUGCUGCUGCUGCUUCGUCAGGAGACGGGAACAGCUCACAAGGCGGCAAGCCACCUCCAUCACCGCCAUCCUGCCCGUUCUCGGACAUGGCCUGUCUCAGCUCGUAUGAGAUUGAUGGCUUGCGACGGCUGCUGGCCGAGCUGAACGUUUCCACGACGAUGGUGAGGGCGUGUCCCGAGGAGCUGGGGGAUCCUGGGGAGCUCAUGUCGACCGUGGAGAUUCUGUUGAACGAGUAUGAAAGCCAGUAUUCUCCUCUGCAAUGUACAAGCAUUUUCCUGUGCAAUGUAUGCUGUAUAUUCUGUUGAAUGAGUAUGAAUUCUCCUGUGCAACGUGCGCUGUAGAUUCUGUUGAACUAGUAUGAAAGCCGAUUUCGCGAGGACAAGGCCACUGGAUAUUUAAUGCUCAUACCGGGAAUACAAUCUGAGAAUCUGCGUGUGUCGCCCGCACCAAUACCUGACAACAUUGUGGAAAUAGUGGCAGUUGAAACAGAGAUUGUAUGCAAGUCCUCAGCUGCUACUGCAUCUCCAAGAAAGACAGCAGGUAUAUCAUCUCGUGACGACCACAUUGAAGUCUGAAUUUGAAGUGCGAAGAUGCUUCAGCAACCACAUCAUACUUUUCCAUUGCUUUCAUUGUGCUUCUACUGUGCAUGUGUGUAACUUGUGGGGUAUAUAUGUGAUGACAUUGUAUGCUGGCGACACGG